GACGAACCGUACGAACGUUAUUCGGAAUUACUGGGCUUAAAGGGUGCGUAGGCGGCAUCGAAAGUAGGGUGUGAAAUCCCUCGGCUUAACCGAGGAACUGCGCUCUAAACUACGAUGCUCGAGGAAGAUAGAGGACCGUGGAACUUCGGGUGGAGCGGUGAAAUGCGUUGAUAUCCGUGGGAACACCGGUGGCGAAAGCGACGGUCUGGAUCUUUUCUGACGCUGAGGCACGAAAGCUAGGGGAGCGAACGGG
rnacentral:rRNA from 1 species